rnacentral:rRNA from 1 species
GAAUUUUGGACAAUGGGGGCAACCCUGAUCCAGCCAUCCCGCGUGUGCGAUGAAGGCCUUCGGGUUGUAAAUCACUUUUGGCAGGGAAGCAAAGGCUCUGGCUAAUACCUGGAGCUGCUGACGGUACCUGCAGAAUAAGCACCGGCUACCUUCGGUACAGCAACCGCGGUAAUACGUAGGGUGCAAGCGUUAAUCGGAAUUACUGGGCGUAAAGCGUGCGCAGGCGGUUCGGCAAGAAGGAUGUGAAAUCCCAGGGCUUAACCUUGGAACUGCAUUCUUAACUGCCGGGCUAGAGUAUGUCAGAGCGGGGUAGAAUUCCGCGUGUAGCAGUGAAAUGCGUAGAGAUGCGGAGGAAUACCGAUGGCGAAGGCAGCCCCCUGAGAUAAUACUGACGCUCAUGCACGAAAGCGUGGGGAGCAAAC